CGACGACGACGACGAUGACGACGACGACGACGACGACGAUGACGAUGAUGAUGAUGAUCGUCGUCGUCGUCGUCAUCAUCAUCAUCAUCAUAAUAA
rnacentral:pre_miRNA from 1 species